rnacentral:rRNA from 1 species
UACGUAGGUGGCGAGCGUUGUCCGGAUUUACUGGGUGUAAAGGGCGUGUAGGCGGGUUUGCAAGUCGGGUGUGAAAGAUCCAGGCUUAACUUGGAGAGGUCAUCCGAAACUGCAGAUCUUGAGUGCUGGAGAGGAUAGUGGAAUUCCUGGUGUAGCGGUAAAAUGCGUAGAUAUCAGGAGGAACACCAGUGGCGAAGGCGGCUAUCUGGACAGUAACUGACGCUGAGGCGCGAAAGCGUGGGGAGCAAACAGGAUUAGAUA